UAUUAGUUCUUUUAAAAAUAAUUUUAUUGUAAUAAAAUUAGAAAAUUGAGGAAGACAUUAUCUAACUAGAUGUGAGCAAGCCUAGAGUUGAGCAGAGAGAACGGCGGCGGCGGUGGACCAAGCAAAUCCAUUGGAUCUUGAAGUGACGAGGCAUCUCAUCGGUCAUCCCUGUGUCGGUGGUUGUGCGCCAGCACGUGUUGAGUGUGGCAAGGCUCGUUGUGCUUCUGGGUUGAGGCCAGGAACGUCAGGACGGUUGGCAUUCAUUUUUAACAGAUCUAGUAGAAGAGCGACGAAGAUGUGGUUCUUGUUUUGGUCGGUCCUCUGUAGAGCUGAUUUUCGGCGUUGAUAAGGUGCUAGAAAGGCCGGCUACUGGAAAGCUUGGCGGCGGUGGUGAUCGAUGGAUUUGACAGAAGUGGGCUAGGACUUGUGCUCAUAAAUUUGCUCGGGUUUGAGCUUGGGCCUUUGGAUCUAGGCUCAACUUUGGGUUGUUUGGCUCUAUUUUGUUGACCUACAGGGAGG
rnacentral:lncRNA from 1 species